CAACUUUCAUGAAUAAAACUGAGUUUUCAGUCUCAGUCAAAACAAUCGCAAACAGGCAGAGUACAGUUGUCAAGAAUGACCCUCGAGUUAGAGAAGCAGUAGUGUCUUAUGAUGAGUCUUAAGCUGCGUCAAGUCAACGACAUGAAGCACCUAUGGGCGAGAUAACUCGAGUAGAUAGGACGUGGGCAAGACCCAAGAUAAGCUUUUCUCAAAUUCUACAUAAGCAAUUUAAGUGAGUGCUAAUAAGAGUGACAGAUGCCACCGACUGAAGUAAAUGCAUAAGCAGUCCCAGAUGCCAAAGCCCUGAUUGAAUAUCUUUGUUAAAGCCAAUAAAGUCACAUAUGUUGUGUUGCUGUGAAAGCAGGAAACUGCCCAUGCUGUCCAAAAACAGCUUUUUUUUCCUGCUGUAAAGGUGGACAUGGGAGCUUAUAUGAGAAUGACUCUUGGAGGAAUCACAUUGUUUGUCACAGCUGUACUGGCUUCAUUUUUAAUUGUUUUUAUUUUUCAGCCAUUUAGUACUGAUGAAGUACUUUUAAAGUGCAUUUAAGGAAAGUUCUCAUUUCUCAGUGGAGUGUCAGUAAGACGGUAUAAAGGAGUGGGGUCUGUAUAAGAACACAUUUUCAGAUGAAUAGGCAGUUGAUGUAGAAAUGGCGCGCAUUACAAGUCGAACUUGAUAAUGAAGAGUGUUUAUGUUGCUCCUCAGUACAGUAACUGCUGAGGUUACAGGAUUUACGAGUGCCCUGGAGCACAGAUCCAUUCCCCUACAGAGGCUUUGUGAUUGGUCCUGAUGGCUGCAGCCGUUUCGCUAUAUCACUUUGACGCCGUUUUAAUCCGCUCCAAUGCCUUAUCUUUUUCCCUCUCUCAAUUCCUCCAUCAUCCCUGCCUACACCCUCCAAGUACUGGAAGGAGCUCCGUCAGACCAGCUCAUGCAACAGAGCCAAAUGCCCCAACAGCCCUGGGUAUCUAAAACCUCAGCCUCCGGUCUCUCGGCCUUCUCAGCUUCAGUUUUUGUUCAGCUUCUCCCUGUUGUCCCUUUGUCAUCUAUAGCACACAUGGU
ensembl:lncRNA